UCAAAUCAGGUGAAUUGCACAAGUUUGAUAAUAAGAAGGCUGGUGAAUCCAGUCGCUUUUCACAUUCUGGUGAUCUAAAGAAAGGGAGGUCAUCUCCCCUGAGGCAUUCACGAAGUGCUUGCAUAUCCCCCUAUCGAAAUGAAGCACCUUCUGGAGUCAAAUCAGGUGAAUUGCAGAAGUUUGAGUAUAAGCAGGCUGGUGAAUCCAGUCUCUUUACACGUUCUGGUGAUCUGAAGAAAGGGAGGUUAUCUCCCCUCAGGCAUUCACGAAGUGCUUGCAUAUCCCCAUAUCGAAAUGAAGCACCUUCUGGAGUCAAAUCAGCUGAACUGCAGAAGCUUGAGUACAAGCAGGCUGGUGAGUCACGUCGCUUUUCACAUUCUGGUGAUUUAAAGAAUGGUAGGUCAUCUACCUUCAGUAAUUCACGAAGUGCUUGCGUAUCCCCCUAUCGAAAUGAAGCACCUUGUGGAGUCAAAUCAGGUGAAUUGCAGAAGUUUGAGUAUAAGCAGGCUGGUGAGUCCAAUCGCUUUUCAUAUUCUGGAGAUUUAAAGAAAGGCAGGUCAUCUACCUUCAGUAAUUCACGAAGUGCUUGCAUAUCCCCCUAUAGAAAUGAAGCAC
rnacentral:lncRNA from 1 species